rnacentral:rRNA from 1 species
AGAGUUUGAUCCUGGCUCAGGACGAACGCUGGCGGCGCGCCUAACACAUGCAAGUCGAACGAGCGAGAGAGAGCUUGCUUUCUCGAGCGAGUGGCGAACGGGUGAGUAACGCGUGAGGAACCUGCCUCAAAGAGGGGGACAACAGUUGGAAACGACUGCUAAUACCGCAUAAGCCCACGACCCGGCAUCGGGUAGAGGGAAAAGGAGAAAUCCGCUUUGAGAUGGCCUCGCGUCCGAUUAGCUAGUUGGUGAGGUAACGGCCCACCAAGGCGACGAUCGGUAGCCGGACUGAGAGGUUGAACGGCCACAUUGGGACUGAGACACGGCCCAGACUCCUACGGGAGGCAGCAGUGGGGAAUAUUGCACAAUGGGGGAAACCCUGAUGCAGCGACGCCGCGUGGAGGAAGAAGGUCUUCGGAUUGUAAACUCCUGUUGUUGAGGAAGAUAAUGACGGUACUCAACAAGGAAGUGACGGCUAACUACGUGCCAGCAGCCGCGGUAAAACGUAGGUCACAAGCGUUGUCCGGAAUUACUGGGUGUAAAGGGAGCGCAGGCGGGAAGGCAAGUUGGAAGUGAAAUCCAUGGGCUCAACCCAUGAACUGCUUUCAAAACUGUUUUUCUUGAGUAGUGCAGAGGUAGGCGGAAUUCCCGGUGUAGCGGUGGAAUGCGUAGAUAUCGGGAGGAACACCAGUGGCGAAGGCGGCCUACUGGGCACCAACUGACGCUGAGGCUCGAAAGUGUGGGUAGCAAACAGGAUUAGAUACCCUGGUAGUCCACACUGUAAACGAUGAUUACUAGGUGUUGGAGGAUUGACUCCUUCAGUGCCGCAGUUAACACAAUAAGUAAUCCACCUGGGGAGUGCGACCGCAAGGUUGAAACUCAAAGGAAUUGACGGGGGGCCGCACAAGCGGAGGAACAUGUGGUUUAAUUCGAUGAUACGCGAGGAACCUUACCCGGGCUUGAAUUGCAGAGGAAGGAUUUGGAGACAAUGACGCCCUUCGGGGCCUCUGUGAAGGUGCUGCAUGGUUGUCGUCAGCUCGUGCCGUGAGGUGUCGGCUUAAGUGCCAUAACGAGCGCAACCCCUCUCCUUAGUUGCCAUCAGGUUAAGCUGGGCACUCUGGGGACACUGCCACCGUAAGGUGUGAGGAAGGUGGGGAUGACGUCAAAUCAGCACGGCCCUUACGUCCGGGGCUACACACGUGUUACAAUGGCAGGUACAGAGAGACGGUCCCUUGCAAAACGGAUCAAAUCCUUAAAGCCUGUCUCAGUUCGGACUGGGGUCUGCAACCCGACCCCACGAAGCUGGAUUCGCUAGUAAUCGCGCAUCAGCCAUGGCGCGGUGAAUACGUUCCCGGGCCUUGUACACACCGCCCGUCAAGCCAUGAAAGCCGGGGGCGCCUAAAGUCCGUGACCGUAAGGAGCGGCCUAGGGCGAAACUGGUAAUUGGGGCUAAGUCGUAACAAGGUA